AGUCCUGUGCCCUUAAGUCAUUGGCGUCAGUCUCACGGCUUACGGGUUUCCUUGCCUAGCCGGAGGGAGGGAGAGUUCACAGAGCCAGAGUUAGAUGCUAGAUGAGCCUCAUUCAGUUAUUAAAGUCAAGAUGAAAUAGUAUCCACCCGUUCUGUAGUAGUUGCCGCUACGUUGCUUGGCUUCUUUAUUACUUUCGCAGCUCCUACCGCGACACAAUAGUAGUGGUUGUUCGGGAGCAAGAGCUGGAUUAGGUGGAGCAGUUAUUGACUUUCUUUCCCGAGAAGGAUCUGGAUCCGAGGCUGGGCAAAGAGGGAGGUCAACUCUGAGUCCUGUGCUGUG
rnacentral:lncRNA from 1 species